AUCGAUAUCAGACUGAGUCCAAAACUUGGGGAACAUCAGAAUAUGGUGGAAGGAGUCAUCUGGUGGGUUUUAACUGAAAUCCAAUCUCUAAAACUAUGCAAUACACCAACCACUCCAUUUCAGAAUGAACUUUGUACGAACCUGAAUUGUCCAAUGUCAUGAACCAAUCAAUAUCGAAUUCAGUCCAAAACUUGGGGAACAUAAAAAUUUUGUGGGAGGAGUUAUUUGGUGAGUCUUGAGUAAAAUCCAAUUUCUACAACUAUGCAAUAC
rnacentral:lncRNA from 1 species